rnacentral:rRNA from 1 species
GUGUCCCAGCCGCCGCGGUAAUACGUAGGGUGCAAGCGUUAUCCGGAAUUAUUGGGCGUAAAGGGCUCGUAGGCGGUUCGUCGCGUCCGGUGUGAAAGUCCAUCGCUUAACGGUGGAUCCGCGCCGGGUACGGGCGGGCUUGAGUGCGGUAGGGGAGACUGGAAUUCCCGGUGUAACGGUGGAAUGUGUAGAUAUCGGGAAGAACACCAAUGGCGAAGGCAGGUCUCUGGGCCGUUACUGACGCUGAGGAGCGAAAGCGUGGGGAGCGAACAGGAUUAGAUACCCUGGUAGUCCACGCCGUAAACGGUGGAUGCUGGAUGUGGGGCCCGUUCCACGGGUUCCGUGUCGGAGCUAACGCGUUAAGCAUCCCGCCUGGGGAGUACGGCCGCAAGGCUAAAACUCAAAGAAAUUGACGGGGGCCCGCACAAGCGGCGGAGCAUGCGGAUUAAUUCGAUGCAACGCGAAGAACCUUACCUGGGCUUGACAUGUUCCCGACGAUCCCAGAGAUGGGGUUUCCCUUCGGGGCGGGUUCACAGGUGGUGCAUGGUCGUCGUCAGCUCGUGUCGUGAGAUGUUGGGUUAAGUCCCGCAACGAGCGCAACCCUCGCCCCGUGUUGCCAGCGGAUUAUGCCGGGAACUCACGGGGGACCGCCGGGGUUAACUCGGAGGAAGGUGGGGAUGACGUCAGAUCAUCAUGCCCCUUACGUCCAGGGCUUCACGCAUGCUACAAUGGCCGGUACAACGGGAUGCGACAGUGCGAGCUGGAGCGGAUCCCUGAAAACCGGUCUCAGUUCGGAUCGCAGUCUGCAACUCGACUGCGUGAAGGCGGAGUCGCUAGUAAUCGCGAAUCAGCAACGUCGCGGUGAAUGCGUUCCCGGGCCUUGUACACACCGCCCGUCAAGUCAUGAAAGUGGGCAGCACCCGAAGCCGGUGGCCUAACCCCUUGCGGGAGGGAGCCGUCUAAGGUGAGGCUCGUGAUUGGGACUAAGUCGUAACAAGGUAA